GCCCCGAUAGUACAGAGGCCAAGUAUGCUGCCCUUUCACGGCAGUGACCCGGGUUCGAAUCCCGGUCGGGGCG
rnacentral:tRNA from 1 species